rnacentral:rRNA from 1 species
UCUGAAGGUACCUCCAAAGGAAGCUCCGGCUAACUCCGUGCCAGCAGCCGCGGUAAUACGGAGGGAGCAAACGUUGUUCGGAUUUACUGGGUGUAAAGGGUGCGUAGGCGGCUACGUGUGUCAGAGGUGAAAGCUCACGGCUCAACCGUGGAACUGCCCUUGAAACUGCGUAGUUGAGUCCGAGAGAGGAUGGUGGGAUUCCUGGUGUAACGGUGAAAUGUGCAGAUAUCAGGAAGAACACCGGUGGCGAAGGCGGCCAUCUGGCUCGGUACUGACGCUGAGGCACGAAAGCUAGGGUAUCGAACGGGAUUAGAUACCCCGGUAGUCCUAGCCGUAAACGAUGUCCACUAGGUGUCGGAGGUCCUACCCCUUCGGUGCCGGAGCUAACGCAUUAAGUGGACCACCUGGGGAGUACGCUCGCAAGGGUGAAACUCAAAGGAAUUGACGGGGGCCCGCACAAGCGGUGGAGCAUGUGGUUUAAUUCGAUGCAACGCGAAGAACCUUACCUGGGCUUGACAUGCAGGGGACAGGUGUAGAGAUAUACCCUUCUUCGGACUCCUGUACAGGUGCUGCAUGGCUGUCGUCAGCUCGUGUCGUGAAAUGUUGGGUUAAGUCCCGCAACGAGCGCAACCCUUGUCCUUAGUUGCCAGCACGUCAUGGUGGGAACUCUAGGGAGACUGCCGGUGACAAACCGGAGGAAGGUGGGGACGACGUCAAGUCAUCAUGGCCCUUACGUCCAGGGCUACACACGUGCUACAAUGGCACAUACAGAGGGCAGCGAACCCGCGAGGGGAAGCCAAUCCCAAAAAGUGUGCCUCAGUUCGGAUCGCAGUCUGCAACUCGACUGCGUGAAGUCGGAAUCGCUAGUAAUC